AUACGGAGGGUGCAAGCGUUAAUCGGAAUUACUGGGCGUAAAGGGUUCGUAGGCGGUUAUUUAAGUCAGAUGUGAAAGCCCCGGGCUCAACCUGGGAAUUGCAUCUGAUACUGGGUAACUAGAGUUUAAGAGAGGAGUGUGGAAUUUCCGGUGUAGCGGUGAGAUGCAUAGAGAUCGGAAGGAACAUCAGUGGCGAAGGCGGCACUCUGGCUUAAAACUGACGCUGAGGAACGAAAGCGUGGGUAGCAAACAGGAUUAGAAACCCUAGUAGUCC
rnacentral:rRNA from 1 species